rnacentral:rRNA from 1 species
GAGUUUGAUCAUGGCUCAGGAUGAACGCUGGCGGCAGGCCUAAUACAUGCAAGUCGAGGGGUAACAGGGAAGCUUGCUUCCGCUGACGACCGGCGCACGGGUGCGUAACGCGUAUGCAACCUACCCACAACUGGGGAAUAGCCCGGAGAAAUCCGGAUUAAUACCCCAUAAUGCAGGGGUACCUCCUGGUACUAUUUGCUAAAGAUUUAUCGGUUGUGGAUGGGCAUGCGUCUGAUUAGUUUGUUGGUGAGGUAACGGCUCACCAAGACCACGAUCAGUAGGGGGUCUGAGAGGAUGAUCCCCCACACUGGCACUGAGAUACGGGCCAGACUCCUACGGGAGGCAGCAGUAGGGAAUAUUGGGCAAUGGGCGAAAGCCUGACCCAGCCAUGCCGCGUGAAGGAUGAAGGCCUUCUGGGUUGUAAACUUCUUUUAUAUAGGAAGAAAAAGGUCAUGCGUGACCAAUUGACGGUACUAUAUGAAUAAGCACCGGCUAACUCCGUGCCAGCAGCCGCGGUAAUACGGAGGGUGCAAGCGUUGUCCGGAUUUAUUGGGUUUAAAGGGUGCG